AUGUAGCAGCAUAGACAUAGGGCUGUCAUGCGGCAGUUAAUUGCACCUGCUGACCAUUGGGGCGGCAGUAUAUAAGUACGGCCCUCCUUCUCGCACGCUCACUAACGCAUCAUUUCCGGGUCAGGUGUUUGCCUGUGCAGGUAAUGCUCCAUGCCGCUGCUGCGGCUACUGCUCUGUUUCAUCUUUUACUGUGUCCUGUUGCUUAAAGCCUGCGUGUUUUCACUGCAGAGCAGCGACCGAGUGCCCCGUGCUUUGUGCUCCAUGCUCCGUUUAGACCUUGGUUCUCUCUGGCGGUGGUAAGUGUCCUCUCUCUCUGUGUUACACCGAAUGCUAUCCUGUAGCUAACGCUAGUGUGGUCACAGGUAGAUGUCCGCUGCCGUGUGGGUCUCUCUCUCCCUCCCUCUCCCUGUGCAGGUUUGACUUUGAAAACAGGGAAUGCUCGUCAGCUGGCCGAAAUCUACAGGUGGCGAUUCACGUGCCUUCACCACCAGCUGAUUGGGACCGCUGCUGUUUUGUCUCUGCUUUGUCUCUGCCUUGUCGCUGCUUUGUCGGUGUUUUGUCUAUGCUUUGUCUACACUGAUUUAUUUACAUUGCUUUGUCCGCACCGCUUUGCCUCUGCCGUUAAACACACGGUUGCUGUGUUUAUACCGCUUUGUCGACUAUAUGUCUGCUGUUGUGCCCCUACUGCUAGCUGCAUAGCUGUGUCUCUGCUGCUGUAUGUGACAUUGUCCCCUGCUUUGCCUCUGCAGUCACUUAUUCCUUGCUGCCGUGUUCUGCGGCUCUGGCUGCUUGGUGGCUUCUGGCUACAGCCGGCUUGCAUGGUGAACUGCAGACACCAUACUUUUAAUCUGUUUAUCUCUUUUUAUUUUAGCUGAACGAUGGUGAGGAGUUAAUCCCUUAUUUUUGUAUUACUUGUUUUGUUUAUUGUUUUGAUUAACUAGCUUGGUAAGCUUAAUUGGUUAACUAUUUCCUGCUUUAUGUUGUAUAUUUUUAUUAUAUUUAUAUUUUGUGUUAAAUACUUCCAUUGUAACUUUUGUUUUCCCUUCUCAGUGGCUGCAGGCUGGUGGUGGUGUUGGUGACGUGGGUGGUGGUGUCCCUCCUUCUUGUGUGCUGUGCUUCCUUGGAUUUGGUGAUACCACAGUGUGUGACUGCCACGUGUGUCUGGGUGAACCCUUUUUCUUUAAUUUAAUUUUGUUGAGUCCCCUUCCCCUUCACCUGCUCUUUCCCCACCAGUAGGCCUCAGCCCCUGAUUAGGCUCCCUUUUUCAUUUAUUGGGAUGAAUGCUAUUUUUUAUAAUGAUAUAUAUAUUUAUUAAAUAAAGUAUUUUUGUAAACUGGGAACCACGUGUCUUGCCUGUCGAGUGGAACGAACCUGUGUUUUUGGUCAGUGUAAAAUAAUUCCUUGGGUGCAAUUCCCAAGGUGGCGUUGUCGUGCAACCUAAGAUUCCCAUUGAGAGAACAUUCAUUUUUGUUCGCAACCCCCGCCACACUUACAUUGAUAAAGGGCUGUUAAGGGAAUACUAAUAACAGAAAUAAAGUAAUGAAUAUUAGAUGUUUGUAUGAUGUGUUAUAGAAUUGUAACUUACUAAUGAAUAUGAAUAGCAGGCACAGUAUAAGGGAGAAGAGUGUGGGUAGUUGCAGAUAUAACAUGACAUUCUUUGGGAGAGAUAGCGGUAAACACGGCCUCCGAGGUCAGUGUCAUGAGCUCGUAAAAACAAUGAUAGAACACAGGACGGACUCCUUCCAGUCGUGAAAAACAACUCAGGUUUUGGCUACCCCAUCAACACCAUCCUUGGAGACAAGAUACCAAGAGGACAAGGGGUGGAGAUUAUACCAUCUUGUGCUAUGUGUGUUAUCUGCAAAAAUAUAAGAACUGAUGUUAGGAACAAGAGGUUGCUCAGACUUUGUGAACUGGCAGACCUUGUGCAUGUCAGGUUAACCGUAGUUGAACCCAGAGCUAUGUAAACUUUGCACAUUCUACUGGUGUUAAGAAUAAAGCUGAUUAUUGAGUAAACUAAA